rnacentral:rRNA from 1 species
AACGAACGCUGGCGGCAGGCCUAACACAUGCCAGUCGAGCGAGAUCUUCGGGUCUAGCGGCGGACGGGUGAGUAACGCGUGGGAAUAUGCCUCUUGGUACGGAAUAGCCUCGGGAAACUGGGAGUAAUACCGUAUGUGCCCUUUGGGGGAAAGAUUUAUCGCCAAGAGAUUAGCCCGCGUUGGAUUAGGUAGUUGGUGGGGUAAUGGCCUACCAAGCCGACGAUCCAUAGCUGGUUUGAGAGGAUGAUCAGCCACACUGGGACUGAGACACGGCCCAGACUCCUAUGGGAGGCAGCAGUGGGGAAUCUUAGACAAUGGGGGCAACCCUGAUCUAGCCAUGCCGCGUGAGUGAUGAAGGCCUUAGGGUUGUAAAGCUCUUUCAGCUGGGAAGAUAAUGACGGUACCAGCAGAAGAAGCCCCGGCUAACUCCGUG